GAAAAAUUAAAAGUCAGUGUUUUUUGUUUUUUUUUUUUCUUUUUUUCAUAAACAACAACCUUCGUUUUUGUCAUCACGUACAACGUACUGGCGGUUAUAUUUGUCAGUUCACCUGUUUCGAUUGGAAUUUAACUGUUUUGACGUAUUGCUCAGAGAUUUCUGAUUUUUAGCCAAACACACGUUACCAAAAAAAUAAAAAAAAUAAAAAAAAAAAAACCAG